AGUGAACGCUGGCGGUAGGCCUAACACAUGCAAGUCGAACGGCAGCACAGUAAGAGCUUGCUCUUACGGGUGGCGAGUGGCGGACGGGUGAGGAAUACAUCGGAAUCUACUUUUUCGUGGGGGAUAACGUAGGGAAACUUACGCUAAUACCGCAUACGACCUACGGGUAAAAGCAGGGGAUCUUCGGACCUUGCGCGAUUGAAUGAGCCGAUGUCGGAUUAGCUAGUUGGCGGGGUAAAGGCCCACCAAGGCGACGAUCCGUAGCUGGUCUGAGAGGAUGGAGAGCAAAAGUGGAGGAUAGAGGAGGUCCGAGGCCCGGCGGGAGGCAGCAGUGGGGAAGGUUGGAAAAUGGGCGGAGGUUUGAUCCAGCCAUACGGCGGGGAGAAAGAAGGCCUGCCGGUUGCACAGCCCUUUUGUUGGGAAACAAAAACAGCAGGCUAAUACCCCGCUGGUCUGCCGGUGCGGAAAGAAUAGGCAGCGCCUAACUUCGUG
rnacentral:rRNA from 1 species